AGCCUGCAUACUUCAGCAGCUUUUACUAUGCCAAAAUCAGAAACAUCUGAACCAGAGACACCUAGGAUUUCCCAGGAAGUUGCUCAACAAUGAUGCUCAAAGUGUCAUGAG